ACUAAGCGUACACGGUGGAUGCCCUGGCAGUCAGAGGCGAUGAAGGGCGUGCUAAUCUGCGAUAAGCGCCGGUAAGGUGAUAUGAACCGUUAUAACCGGCGAUACCCGAAUGGGGAAACCCAGUGUGAUUCGUCACACUAUCAUUAACUGAAUCCAUAGGUUAAUGAGGCGAACCGGGGGAACUGAAACAUCUAAGUACCCCGAGGAAAAGAAAUCAACCGAGAUUCCCCCAGUAGCGGCGAGCGAACGGGGAGGAGCCCAGAGCCUGAAUCAGCAUGUGUGUUAGUGGAAGCGUCUGGAAAGGCGCGCGAUACAGGGUGACAGCCCCGUACACAAAAGCGCAUGUGCUGUGAGCUCGAUGAGUAGGGCGGGACACGUGGUAUCCUGUCUGAAUAUGGGGGGACCAUCCUCCAAGGCUAAAUACUCCUGACUGACCGAUAGUGAACCAGUACCGUGAGGGAAAGGCGAAAAGAACCCCGGCGAGGGGAGUGAAAAAGAACCUGAAACCGUGUACGUACAAGCAGUGGGAGCNUGAGGGAAAGGCGAAAAGAACCCCGGCGAGGGGAGUGAAAAAGAACCUGAAACCGUGUACGUACAAGCAGUGGGAGCCCCACCACUAAGCCAGUGGUGAACUCCACAUACGCAUCCUUUGCUGAGGAUACGGUUAACGGAGCGCAAGCGACGUUCAACCGCAAAAGAAGCAGAGGGGGCUUAGUGGUGGGGUGACUGCGUACCUUUUGUAUAAUGGGUCAGCGACUUAUAUUCUGUAGCAAGGUUAACCGUAUAGGGGAGCCGGAGGGAAACCGAGUCUUAAUUGGGCGUUAAGUUGCAGGGUAUAGACCCGAAACCCGGUGAUCUAGCCAUGGGCAGGUUNAGGGAAACCGAGUCUUAACCGGGCGUUAAGUUGCAGGGUAUAGACCCGAAACCCGGUGAUCUAGCCAUGGGCAGGUUGAAGGUUGGGUAACACUAACUGGAGGACCGAACCGACUAAUGUUGAAAAAUUAGCGGAUGACCUGUGGCUGGGGGUGAAAGGCCAAUCAAACCGGGAGAUAGCUGGUUCUCCCCGAAAGCUAUUUAGGUAGCGCCUCGUGAAUUCAUCUCCGGGGGUAGAGCACUGUUUCGGCUAGGGGGCCAUCCCGGCUUACCAACCCGAUGCAAACUGCGAAUACCGGAGAAUGUUAUCACGGGAGACACACGGCGGGUGCUAACGUCCGUCGUGAAGAGGGAAACAACCCAGACCGCCAGCUAAGGUCCCAAAGUCAUGGUUAAGUGGGAAACGAUGUGGGAAGGCCCAGACAGCCAGGAUGUUGGCUUAGAAGCAGCCAUCAUUUAAAGAAAGCGUAAUAGCUCACUGGUCGAGUCGGCCUGCGCGGAAGAUGUAACGGGGCUAAACCAUGCACCGAAGCUGCGGCAGCGAGUAAUAGCUCACUGGUCGAGUCGGCCUGCGCGGAAGAUGUAACGGGGCUAAACCAUGCACCGAAGCUGCGGCAGCGAACGUAUCACUUAAAGCGAUUCAGCGGGUUACGAUUGACGGAGCGAAGCGACGUCAAAGCGUAUACAAAGUCGAGUCGGUUUAAGGAUACGUUCGUUGGGUAGGGGAGCGUUCUGUAAGCCUGUGAAGGUGGCCUGUGAGGGUUGCUGGAGGUAUCAGAAGUGCGAAUGCUNGUUGGGUAGGGGAGCGUUCUGUAAGCCUGUGAAGGUGGCCUGUGAGGGUUGCUGGAGGUAUCAGAAGUGCGAAUGCUGACAUAAGUAACGAUAAAGCGGGUGAAAAGCCCGCUCGCCGGAAGACCAAGGGUUCCUGUCCAACGUUAAUCGGGGCAGGGUGAGUCGACCCCUAAGGCGAGGCCGAAAGGCGUAGUCGAUGGGAAACGGGUUAAUAUUCCCGUACUUGGUGUUACUGCGAAGGGGGGACGGAGAAGGCUAUGUUGGCCGGGCGACGGUUGUCCCGGUUUAAGCGUGUAGGUGUGUGUUCCAGGUAAAUCCGGUUCACUUUAACACUGAGGCGUGAUGACGAGGCACUACGGUGCUGAAGCAACAAAUGCCCUGCUUCCAGGAAAAGCCUCUAAGCAUCAGGUAACAUCAAAUCGUACCCCAAACCGACACAGGUGGUCAGGUAGAGAAUACCAAGGCGCUUGAGAGAACUCGGGUGAAGGAACUAGGCAAAAUGGUGCCGUAACUUCGGGAGAAGGCACGCUGACAUGUAGGUGAAGUGAUUUACUCAUGGAGCUGAAGUCAGUCGAAGAUACCAGCUGGCUGCAACUGUUUAUUAAAAACACAGCACUGUGCAAACACGAAAGUGGACGUAUACGGUGUGACGCCUGCCCGGUGCCGGAAGGUUAAUUGAUGGGGUCAGCGCAAGCGAAGCUCCUGAUCGAAGCCCCGGUAAACGGCGGCCGUAACUAUAACGGUCCUAAGGUAGCGAAAUUCCUUGUCGGGUAAGUUCCGACCUGCACGAAUGGCGUAAUGAUGGCCAGGCUGUCUCCACCCGAGACUCAGUGAAAUUGAACUCGCUGUGAAGAUGCAGUGUACCCGCGGCAAGACGGAAAGACCCCGUGAACCUUUACUAUAGCUUGACACUGAACAUUGAGCCUUGAUGUGUAGGAUAGGUGGGAGGCUUUGAAGUGUGGACGCCAGUCUGCAUGGAGCCGACCUUGAAAUACCACCCUUUAAUGUUUGAUGUUCUAACGUGGACCCGUAAUCCGGGUUGCGGACAGUGUCUGGUGGGUAGUUUGACUGGGGCGGUCUCCUCCUAAAGAGUAACGGAGGAGCACGAAGGUUGGCUAAUCCUGGUCGGACAUCAGGAGGUUAGUGCAAUGGCAUAAGCCAGCUUGACUGCGAGCGUGACGGCGCGAGCAGGUGCGAAAGCAGGUCAUAGUGAUCCGGUGGUUCUGAAUGGAAGGGCCAUCGCUCAACGGAUAAAAGGUACUCCGGGGAUAACAGGCUGAUACCGCCCAAGAGUUCAUAUCGACGGCGGUGUUUGGCACCUCGAUGUCGGCUCAUCACAUCCUGGGGCUGAAGUAGGUCCCAAGGGUAUGGCUGUUCGCCAUUUAAAGUGGUACGCGAGCUGGGUUUAGAACGUCGUGAGACAGUUCGGUCCCUAUCUGCCGUGGGCGCUGGAGAACUGAGGGGGGCUGCUCCUAGUACGAGAGGACCGGAGUGGACGCAUCACUGGUGUUCGGGUUGUCAUGCCAAUGGCACUGCCCGGUAGCUAAAUGCGGAAGAGAUAAGUGCUGAAAGCAUCUAAGCACGAAACUUGCCCCGAGAUGAGUUCUCCCUGAGACUUAAAGUCUCCUGAAGGAACGUUGAAGACGACGACGUUGAUAGGCCGGGUGUGUAAGCGCAGCGAUGCGUUGAGCUAACCGGUACUAAUGAACCGUGAGGCUUAACC
rnacentral:rRNA from 1 species